ACGCUAUGCUGCCAAGAAAUAACCUCUAAGAAGAACAUUGGAUAACCGUACCAUAAACCGACACAGGUAGGCGAGGAUAAUAUCCAAAGGCGCUCGAGAGAACUCUUGUUAAGGAACUCGGCAAAUUAACCCCGUAACUUCGGGAUAAGGGGAGCCUGAGUAAUGUGGAAGCCUCUUUUAAUCGAAGCUGGCUAAGCGUGAAAAGGCCGCAGAGAAAUGGCCCAAGCGACUGUUUAUCAAAAACACAGCGCUUUGCUAAGUCGUAAGACGAUGUAUAAGGCGUGACGCCUGCCCGGUGCUGGAAGGUUAAGGAAGGAAGUUAGGACGCAAGUCUGAAGCUUUUGACUGAAGCCCCAGUAAACGGCGGCCGUAACUAUAACGGUCCUAAGGUAGCGAAAUUCCUUGUCGGGUAAGUUCCGACCUGCACGAAUGGCGUAACGACUUGGGCGCUGUCUCAACAAGGGACUCGGUGAAAUAGUAUUUCUGGUGAAGAUGCCAGAUUCCUGCAGCUAGACAGAAAGACCCUGUGAACCUUUACUGUAACUUCUUAUUGAGUUUGAAUGAAUUAUGUACAGGAUAGAUGGGAGACUGCGAAGCGGGUGCGCUAGCACUCGUGGAGUCAACCUUGGGAUACCAUCCUUAAUUCCUUUAGAUUCUAACCCUAUACCGUGAAUCCGGUUAGGAGACAGUGUGUGGUGGGCAGUUUGACUGGGGCGGUCACCUCCCAAAAGGUAACGGAGGUGUUCAAAGGUUCCCUCAGCACGGUCGGUAAUCGUGCGUAGAGCGUAAAGGUAUAAGGGAGCUUGACUGCGAGACUGACGAGUCGAGCAGGUACGAAAGUAGGACUUAGUGAUCCGGUGGUUCUGUAUGGAAGGGCCAUCGCUCAACGGAUAAAAGGUACUCCGGGGAUAACAGGCUGAUCCUAUCCAAGAGCUCACAUCGACGAUAGGGUUUGGCACCUCGAUGUCGGCUCAUCGCAUCCUGGGGCUGUAGAAGGUCCCAAGGGUUGGGCUGUUCGCCCAUUAAAGCGGUACGCGAGCUGGGUUCAGAACGUCGUGAGACAGUUCGGUCCCUAUCUGCUGCAGGCGUAGGAUAUUUGAGGAGAUCUGACUUUAGUACGAGAGGACCGAGUCGGACGAACCUCUGGUGCGCCAGUUGUCACGCCAGUGGCACAGCUGGGUAGCUAUGUUCGGAAGGGAUAACCGCUGAAAGCAUCUAAGCGGGAAGCCUACUCCAAGAUAAGAUAUCCCUGCAGGUUGACAGUUUGGAAGCGUGUCUUCGGAUAUGUGAAAGAAUUGUCGGCUUGUCUAAAGACUCCUGAGAGACUAUCAGGUUGAUAGGUUGGAAGU
rnacentral:rRNA from 1 species